rnacentral:rRNA from 1 species
GACGAACGCUGGCGGCGUGCUUAACACAUGCAAGUCGAACGGAAAGGCCCUGCUUUUGUGGGGUGCUCGAGUGGCGAACGGGUGAGUAACACGUGAGUAACCUGCCCGUGACUUUGGGAUAACUUCAGGAAACUGGGGCUAAUACCGGAUAGGAGCUCCUGCUGCAUGGUGGGGGUUGGAAAGUUUCGGCGGUUGGGGUUGGACUCGCGGCUUAUCAGCUUGUUGGUGGGGUAGUGGCUUACCAAGGCUUUGACGGGUAGCCGGCCUGGGAGGGUGACCGGCCACAUUGGGCCUGAGAUACGGCCCGGACUCCUACGGGAGGCAGCAGUGGGGAAUAUUGCACAAUGGGCGGAAGCCUGAUGCAGCAACGCCGCGUGCGGGAUGACGGCCUUCGGGUUGUAACCCGCUUUCGCCUGUGACGAAGCGUGAGUGACGGUAAUGGGUAAAGAAGCACCGGCUAACUACGUG